rnacentral:rRNA from 1 species
AACGCGAAGAACCUUACCAGCUCUUGACAUGUCUCGUAUGGGGAUCGGAGACGGUUUCCUUCAGUUCGGCUGGCGAGAACACAGGUGCUGCAUGGCUGUCGUCAGCUCGUGUCGUGAGAUGUUGGGUUAAGUCCCGCAACGAGCGCAACCCUCGCCCUUAGUUGCCAUCAUUCAGUUGGGCACUCUAGGGGGACUGCCGGUGAUAAGCCGAGAGGAAGGUGGGGAUGACGUCAAGUCCUCAUGGCCCUUACGGGCUGGGCUACACACGUGCUACAAUGGCGGUGACAAUGGGAUGCUGAGGGGCGACCCCGAGCAAAUCUCAAAAAGCCGUCUCAGUUCGGAUUGCACUCUGCAACUCGAGUGCAUGAAGGUGGAAUCGCUAGUAAUCGUAGAUCAGAACGCUACGGUGAAUACGUUCCCGGGCCUUGUA